GUGUCUUCCAUGCUGAAAUCCAGGAUAUUUACUAACCCUGUUGGAGAACUGGUGAACAUGAAGCAUAGGGAAAAUCAGUGUGCAGAUUAUGACAUUUUCAUCAUUUGGAAUUUUCCACAAGGCCUUGGAUUAAAAGUAAAAAUAGGAAACUAUUUGCCUUGUUACCCAUGGAGCCAACAACUUCAUAUAUCUGAAAAUUUGGAGUGGGCCACAGGAGGAUCGUCAGUGGGUAUACCACAA
rnacentral:lncRNA from 1 species